AAGAUCCAAACGACGGCGGCGGCAAGCAUCACCAGAACGAAAUAAUGUCUAGAAUGCUGCUAGACAUCUGACCUGUGAACUCGGGGCAGAUCAAAGGACCGUGGACCUCAGCGAGAUGCGUCAUUUGACAUCACUUCACAGAUGACGGCUAGUUCUGCUUCAGCGAGGGAUUGUGGUAUGCCAGCGGAGGGCACGAUGUGAACGAAGAGGGCAAGGAAACAUGAAUAGGUCUGCUCUGCUGGGACUGGAACUCUGUGACUCUGCGGUGGAAUAAAAGCGACAUUGAGGAUUAGAGGAGAGUUCUUCGGCUUGCAGGAUAAGCUGAUCUUCCACACUCCAGUUUUACCUGGUUUCUGGAACCGUCCUUCGCCAGACUCAAACCCUGGUCCACUCCACCUCCCAAGUGUGGCGACAUUCAGUACAAAGCAUACCAGUCACGCCAGA